GGGGUUGACUGGUUUUGACAGCGUGUAGAGGUGGUGUGUAAGCAUGCAGAGCCAUGAUGCCUGUGCUCUUUAAACUUGGACAUCGCAGUUUUAAAUGGCGAAAAUAACUACGCUCUUGCUGCUUGAUUGAAGUACAGUAGAUCAGCUUAAUCUCCGCAAAAGUUGCGGAGACAAGACAUCGCCCGAUUGUCCUUUUUCCGAGACUAAUCGACAAGGCGGUGCAGGUAAAUCGGGAAUAGGAAGCGGAUUGUCUCGUGAGGCUUCCGAAAAAUUAGAGAAUAAGGUGUCGGUUGGCAGUUUCCGGCCUGCCGGCGCACGAAAACCAAGUGGAAACUAAGCAUGUAGAAAGCAUAUUAACUCCACGUUUGGACGAGGGUUCGACUCCCUCCAGCUCCACU
rnacentral:tmRNA from 1 species